rnacentral:tRNA from 1 species
AGCGAGGUAGGGUAGUCAGGAGAUCCCGACGGGCUCAUAACNNUGGUUCAAAUCCAUCCCUCGCUA